CUUACCAGGUCAAGACAUGGGCGUGAUUGACAGGCUAAUGACUUUUCUCGAUUCCAUGGAUGGUGGUGCAUGGUCGCACUUAGUUGGUGCAGUGAUUUGUCAGGUUUAUUCCGGUAACGAACGAGACCUCGGCCUUGUAAAUAGCUAUGCUGCUUACAGGGACAUUGGCGGCUACGCCAAGGAAGCUCGAGGCAAUUGCAGAUCUGGAAUGCCCUUAGAUGUCCUGGGUCGCACGCGUGCUACAAUGACGCCACGAACGAGCUUGCGUGAUGAAAGUUACGCAUAAUCAGCAGUCGGCGUCUUAAGGGAUAGUCUCUUGUAACUGUGGGACUCCAACUAGGAAUGUCUCGUAAGCACAAGUCAACAUCUUGUGUUGAUUACGUCCCUGCUCUUUGUACACACCGCCCGUCGCUCCUACCGAUCGAGUGUUUAGGUGAAUUUGAUGGACGUAAGGAAGUCAAAUAAACCUGAGCACUAGAGGAAGGAGAAGUCGAACAUUC
rnacentral:rRNA from 1 species